rnacentral:rRNA from 1 species
UCUGGUGACAAUAGCGACUGUGAACCACCUGAUCCCUUCUCGAACUCAGAAGUGAAACCAGUUAGCGCCGAUGGUAGUGCGGGAUUCCCCGUGUGAGAGUAGGACAUCGCCAGAUUUAUAUUAGAAGCCCCAGCAGGAAACUGCUGGGGCUUUUUUAUUGC